rnacentral:rRNA from 1 species
UACGUAGGGUGCAAGCGUUAUCCGGAUUUACUGGGCGUAAAGCGUGCGCAGGCGGCUAUGCAAGACAGAUGUGAAAUCCCCGGGCUCAACCUGGGAACUGCAUUUGUGACUGCAUGGCUAGAGUACGGUAGAGGGGGAUGGAAUUCCGCGUGUAGCAGUGAAAUGCGUAGAUAUGCGGAGGAACACCGAUGGCGAAGGCAAUCCCCUGGACCUGUACUGACGCUCAUGCACGAAAGCAUGGGGAUCAAACAGG